UUUGAAAAUAUAACUUUUGGAGAGAAUGGAAUGCAAAAUUAGAAGAGCAGAAGCUUGAAAAAGUGGUUCACACAACAUUUGCGGCCCACCAGAUGCCUAGACUGCCCUAAUUUUCAAGCCAUGGGACACCACCUGAACUUCCUGGAUCUUACAUAGUAUGGGAGAAUGAUUUGAAAUCCUACUCAUGUCACUUGCCAGAUGGAUUCAAUAGUGCACUCUCGUUGUGAAGGAUCCAUAAAAGGCAGCCUCUAGGGUCGAAAAGAAAGUCCAUAUGCCAAGCUCUUGCUAACUCUAAAACCUUAACAAAAAGGAUCCAUAAAUGUAACCAUGAUUGUCAACGAUGAGAAGGAAGGUUAACUGCAAUCUAGCAUUUUUAUUUAUUUAUUUAUUUAUUUUUAAAUAUAAAAAUCUCUCCUUGUCGAUC